rnacentral:lncRNA from 1 species
CUUAGACUUAGCAAAUCACAUUCUCACCUCAAUUAGAAGUUUGGAAGCAUGUGCUGUGAAAUGACAUAUCUGUACUAUGUUACAAAGGGCAUAUUUUAAAGAGUACUAAUCAACUGUUUUAUUUUGCAGGACCAAUCUGACUAUAAAGUGUGAUGUUUACAUAGAGACCCCUGACACAGGAGGUGUGUUCAUUGCAGGAAGAGUAAAUAAAGGUGGUAUUUUGAUUAGAAGUGCCAGAGGAAUUUUCUUCUGGAUUUUUGCAAAUGGAUCUUACAGGGUUACAGGUGAUUUAGCUGGAUGGAUUAUAUAUGCUUUAGGACGUGUUGAAGUUACAGCAAAAAAAUGGUAUACACUCACGUUGACUAUUAAGGGUCAUUUCGCCUCUGGCAUGCUGAAUGACAAGUCUCUGUGGACAGACAUCCCUGUGAAUUUUCCAAAGAAUGGCUGGGCUGCAAUUGGAACUCACUCCUUUGAAUUUGCACAGUUUGACAACUUUCUUGUGGAAGCCACACGCUAAUACUUAACAGGGCAUCAUAGAAUACUCUGGAUUUUCUUCCCUUCUUUUUGGUUUUGGUUCAGAGCCAGUUCUUGUUUCAUUGGAACAGUAUAUGAGGCUUUUGGGCUAAAAAUAAUGAAGAGUAAAAGGGGAGAGAAAUUUAUUUUUAAUUUACCCUGUGGAAGAUUUUAUUAGAAUUAAUUCCAAGGGGAAAACUGGUGAAUCUUUAACAUUACCUGGUGUGUUCCCUAACAUUCAAACUGUGCAUUGGCCAUACCCUUAGGAGUGGUUUGAGUAGUACAGACCUCGAAGCCUUGCUGCUAACACUGAGGUAGCUCUCUUCAUCUUAUUUGCAAGCGGUCCUGUAGAUGGCAGUAACUUGAUCAUCACUGAGAUGUAUUUAUGCAUGCUGACCGUGUGUCCAAGUGAGCCAAUGUCUUCAUCACAAGAUGAUGCUGCCAUAAUAGAAAGCUGUAGAACACUAGAAGUAGCUUUUUGAAAACCACUUCAACCUGUUAUGCUUUAUGCUCUAAAAAGUAUUUUUUUAUUUUCCUUUUUAAGAUGAUACUUUUGAAAUGCAGGAUAUGAUGAGUGGGAUGAUUUUAAAAAUGCCUCUUUAAUAAACUACCUCUAACACUAUUUCUGCAGUAAUAGAUAUUAGCAGAUUAAUUGGGUUAUUUGCAUUAUUUAAUUUUUUUGAUUCCAAGUUUUGGUCUUGUAACCACUAUAACUCUCUGUGAACGUUUUUCCAGGUGGCUGGAAGAAGGAAGAAAACCUGAUAUAGCCAAUGCUGUUGUAGUCGUUUCCUCAGCCUCUUCUCACUGUGCUGUGGUCUGUCCUCACAUGUGCACUGGUAACAGACUCACACAGCUGAUGAAUGCUUUUCUCUCCUUAUGUGUGGAAGGAGGGGAGCACUUAGACAUUUGCUAACUCCCAGAAUUGGAUCAUCUCCUAAGAUGUACUUACUUUUUAAAGUCCAAAUAUGUUUAUAUUUAAAUAUACAUGAGCAUGUUCAUCAUGUUGUAUGAUUUAUACUAAGCAUUAAUGUGGCUCUAAGUAGCAAA